rnacentral:rRNA from 1 species
CAGUCGCCGCGGGAAUACGUAGGUGGCAAGCGUUGUCCGGAAUUAUUGGGCGUAAAGGGCUCGCAGGCGGUUUCUUAAGUCUGAUGUGAAAGCCCCCGGCUCAACCGGGGGGGUCAUUGGAAACUGGGAAACUUGAGUGCAGAAGAGGAGAGUGGAAUUCCACGUGUAGCGGUGAAAUGCGUAGAGAUGUGGAGGAACACCAGUGGCGAAGGCGACUCUCUGAUCUGUAACUGACGCUGAGGAGCGAAAGCGUGGGGAGCGAACAGGAUUAGAUACCCGCGUAGUCCCUGUCUCUUAUACA